rnacentral:lncRNA from 1 species
UCCUUACGAAGGGUAAAUAGCUUUGGCAUAUCAUCGUUGUGGCUGUCACGUAGGUAAGAAGGGGUUCUUGCUAGAAACCCAAAUCAGCCACGUAAAACUUGCAACAACAAUUAGAGGACGUCUAACUUGUUUUUGCACGGUUUGACAUGUGAUGGUAUAUGGCCUAAGUGUUGGAAAUAUGCCCUAGAGGCAAUAAUAAAUUAGUUAUUAUUAUAUUUCUUUGUUCAUGAUAAUCGUUUAUUA